UACGGAGGGUGCGAGCGUUAAUCGGAAUUACUGGGCGUAAAGCGCAUGCAGGCGGUCUGUUAAGCGAGAUGUGAAAGCCCCGGGCUUAACCUGGGAACUGCAUUUCGAACUGGCAGACUAGAGUCUUGUAGAGGGAGGUAGAAUUUCAGGUGUAGCGGUGAAAUGCGUAGAGAUCUGAAGGAAUACCAGUGGCGAAGGCGGCCCCCUGGACAAAGACUGACGCUCAGGUGCGAAAGCGUGGGGAGCAAACAGG
rnacentral:rRNA from 1 species